UACGUAGGGAGCGAGCGUUGUCCGGAUUCAUUGGGCGUAAAGAGCUCGUAGGCGGCUUGAUAAGUCGGAUGUGAAACCUCCAGGCUCAACCUGGAGUCGCCAUCCGAUACUGUCAUGGCUAGAGUCCGGUAGGGGCCCACGGAAUUCCUGGUGUAGCGGUGAAAUGCGCAGAUAUCGAUCGGAACACCCAUGGCGAAGGCAGCUCGCCGGCCUGCAACUGACGCUGAGGCGCGAAAGCUGGGGGAGCAAACAGG
rnacentral:rRNA from 1 species